AAUUCCUUUGGCUGUAGCAGCACUUCAAGGACAGGAAUGUAAAACACCGCAGCAUGUCAUGAACCACGGGGAGCUAGUUAGCGAGCACUUAGUGAUA